GCGUGAGAACCUGCCUUGGGGUCUGGGAUAGCUGCGGGAAACUGCAGGUAACACCGGAUACGCACGAGAGUGGAAAGUUUACGCCCUGGGAUGGGCCCGCGUCGGAUUAGGUAGUUGGUGGGGUAACGGCCUACCAAGCCUGCGAUCCGUAACCGGUCUGAGAGGAUGAUCGGUCACACUGGGACUGAGACACGGCCCAGACUCCUACGGGAGGCAGCAGUGGGGAAUCUUGGACAAUGGGGGCAACCCUGAUCCAGCGACGCCGCGUGGGUGAUGAAGGCCUUCGGGUCGUAAAGCCCUUUUGCCGGGGAAGAUGAUGACGGUACCCGGAGAAGAAGCACCGGCUAACUCUGUGCCAGCAGCCGCGGUAAGACAGAGGGUGCUAGCGUUGUUCGGAAUUACUGGGCGUAAAGGGCGCGUAGGCGGCUCGUUUAGUCGGGUGUGAAAUCCCGGGGCUCAACCCCGGAACUGCAUUCGAUACUGGCGGGCUAGAGACCGAGAGAGGUGGGUGGAAUACCCAGUGUAGAGGUGAAAUUCGUAGAUAUUGGGUGGAACACCGGUGGCGAAGGCGGCUCACUGGCUCGGUUCUGACGCUGAGG
rnacentral:rRNA from 1 species